AUUGAACGCUGGCGGCAGGCCUAACACAUGCAAGUCGAACGAGUGGCGGACGGGUGAGUAAUGUCUGGGAAACUGCCCGUUGGAGGGGGUUAACUACUGGAAACGGUAGCUAAUACCGCAUACCAUCAGAUUUGCCCAGAUGUGAUUAGCUUGUUGGUGGGGUAACGGCUCACCAAGGCGACGAUCCCUAGCUGGUCUGAGAGGAUGACCGGCAACACUGGAACUGGGAAACGGUCCAAACUCCUACGGAAGGAAGAAGUGGGGAAUAUUGCACAAUGGGCGAAAGCCUGAUGCAGCCAUGCCGCGUGUAGGAAGAAGGCCUUGGGGUUGUAAAGUACGUUCAGCGAGGAGGCGUUAACCGCAGAAGAAGCAACGGCUAACUCCGUGCCAGCAGCCGCGGUAAUAC
rnacentral:rRNA from 1 species